rnacentral:rRNA from 1 species
UACGAAGGGUGCAAGCGUUACUCGGAAUUACUGGGCGUAAAGCGUGCGUAGGUGGUUCGUUAAGUCUGAUGUGAAAGCCCUGGGCUCAACCUGGGAAUGGCAUUGGAAACUGGCGACCUAGAGUGCGGUAGAGGGUAGUGGAAUUCCCGGUGUAGCAGUGAAAUGCGUAGAUAUCUGGAGGAAUACCGGUGGCGAAGGCGGCAUCCUGGACCAUUACUGACGCUGAGGCGCGAAAGCUAGGGGAGCAAACGGG